CUUCCUACGGGGGGCAGCAGUUAGGAAUAUUCGUCAAUGGGGGAAACCCUGAACGAGCAAUGCCGCGUGAACGAUGACGGUCCUCUGGAUUGUAAAGUUCUGUUGUUUGGGAAGAACGGCUCUAAUAGGAAAUGAUUAGAGAUUGACUGUACCAUUCAAGAAAGCCACGGCUAACUACGUGCCAGCAGCCGCGGUAAUACGGAGGAUGCGAGCGUUAUCCGGAUUUAUUGGGUUUAAAGGGUGCGUAGGCGGAUCGUUAAGUCAGUGGUCAAAUUGAGGGGCUCAACCCCUUCCCGCCAUUGAAA
rnacentral:rRNA from 1 species